rnacentral:rRNA from 1 species
AACGUAGGGGGCUAGCGUUGUCCGGAAUUACUGGGCGUAAAGCGCACGCAGGCGGUCUGGAAAGCGGUGGGUGCAAUCUCGAGGCUCAACCUCGAAACUGCUCGCCGAACUACCAGACUUGAGCACGGGAGAGGACAGUGGAAUUCCCGGUGUAGCGGUGGAAUGCGUAAAUAUCGGGAGGAACACCAGUGGCGAAGGCUGCUGUCUGGAACGUUGCUGACGCUGAGGUGCGAAAGCCAGGGGAGCGAACGGGAUUAGAUACCCCGGUAGUCCCU